rnacentral:rRNA from 1 species
GACGAACGCUGGCGGCGUGCUUAACACAUGCCAGUCGAACGGAAAGGCCCUGCUUGCCGGGUACUCGAGUGGCGAACGGGUGAGUAACACGUGGGUGAUCUGCCCUGCACUUCGGGAUAAGCUUGGGAAACUGGGUCUAAUACCGGAUAGGAACCAUCUUUAGUGUGGUGGUUGGAAAGUUUUUUCGGUGUAGGAUGAGCUCGCGGCCUAUCAGCUUGUUGGUGGGGUAAUGGCCUACCAAGGCGGCGACGGGUAGCCGGCCUGAGAGGGUGUACGGCCACAUUGGGACUGAGAUACGGCCCAGACUCCUACGGGAGGCAGCAGUGGGGAAUAUUGCACAAUGGGCGCAAGCCUGAUGCAGCGACGCCGCGUGGGGGAUGAAGGCCUUCGGGUUGUAAACUCCUUUCGCUAGGGACGAAGCUUUGUUGUGACGGUACCUAGAUAAGAAGCACCGGCUAACUACGUG